CCCUAGCCUCCAAUCCCUAAUUGAAGAUCAAGGCUUCCUGAACGCGAGGCACAAAUUAAAUUUCAUCUUUGUUUUCACGAUUUCCCUCAAAACAAAACCCAGAUCCUCUUCCCUGCCAUAAUUUUUCUUCGCCCUAGCUCUUCUUCGCCUUUGUUCGUCUUCAUCGUAGCUUCUGCCACCGCAGUUCCUCUUGUCGCCGCCAUAUCUCUUCCUCAACGAAGAUGAAAAUGAUGAUUACUAAAUUAUAAAUGAAGCAUAUGUGUGAUCCAUUCAGCAUCAGUUCCUUCAAUCUGAGCAAACAAAGAGUUCGGCGUAUGUAUACAUCUAACCCCAUCUUUCACAAAUGGACAGACCAUAUUGAGAUUGAUUGUCAAUGGUAUUCUGGGUAUGGAUCGUAGUUGGAUGAAAGCUAGUAGAUUAAGUGCCGAGUUUGAACAGGGCUAAGCAAGGGCUAUAUCGAUAUCUUCUGUGAACUUACUAUUUGGGACACAGAACCUGACUGGAAGACAAGGAAUGACGAGGGAUCCGGUGAUGAGGAGUGCUGCUAAUGGAAGGCAGAAUGGUUUCACUGAGGAUGAAUUGUCAGAUUCUGCGGCAAGCUCAGAAUUUUCUACCACACAAGUAGGAAAUAGUAUCAAUGGUUCUCUUCCAAAAAGUAAGGCUUAUAUGUUAGCAGGGGAUGCUUCUAUGU